rnacentral:rRNA from 1 species
AACGCUGGCGGCGUGCCUAACACAUGCAAGUUGAACGUGAAAGGGGCUUCGGCCCCGAGUAAAGUGGCAAACGGGUGAGUAACGCGUGGGUGAUCUGCCUCUGAGUGGGGGAUAACGUUCCGAAAGGGACGGUAAUACCGCAUGACAUCCUGUUUUUGGAUGAACGGUGAUCGAAGCUGGGGACCGCAAGGCCUGGCGCUUGGAGAGGAGCCCGCGUCCGAUUAGCUAGUUGGUGGGGUAACGGCCUACCAAGGCGACGAUCGGUAGCCGGCCUGAGAGGGCGGACGGCCACACUGGGACUGAGACACGGCCCAGACUCCUACGGGAGGCAGCAGUGGGGAAUUGUUCGCAAUGGGCGCAAGCCUGACGACGCAACGCCGCGUGGGGGAUGAAGGUCUUCGGAUUGUAAACCCCUGUUGGGUGGGACGAACACCUUCGUGGUUAACAGCCGUGGAGACUGACGGUACCACCUGAGGAAGCCCCGGC